CCUCUCUCUUUUGUAUGGUUAUCACAUGCAAAACAAAAAGAAGAAGAUACAUGUCAAUUUUUUCUUUAUGUAAUUUUAAAUAGUUAUUGAUUUUUUUAUUUAUUAUUUUGGGCAUUAAAAUUUUAUGGUUCCUCCUCUCCAAAAAUAAAAUCAAAUUUAUGCCCCGUAGGACUGGUCCAUACUUGUCCUAUGUAAAAUAAUUUUGUCCUGGUCAUUGUACUAGCAUUUACUAGACAUUAAACAAUAAACAUAGUUGGAUUUUUGUUGGCGUUUUCAUAUGAUUAUUGUCACACGAAAAACACAGAAUAUUCAUUUAAGUUUUAUUUCAAGU
rnacentral:lncRNA from 1 species